UUUUCCACGUGUGGAAUUUUGUAUGUACCAUAUGAAUAAGGAUCGGCUAACUCCGUGCCAGCAGCCGCGGUAAUACGGAGGAUCCGAGCGUUAUCCGGAUUUAUUGGGUUUAAAGGGAGCGUAGGUGGAUUGUUAAGUCAGUUGUGAAAGUUUGCGGCUCAACCGUAAAAUUGCAGUUGAAACUGGGAGUCUUGAGUACAGUAGAGGUGGGCGGAAUUCGUGGUGUAGCGGUGAAAUGCUUAGAUAUCACGAAGAACUCCGAUUGCGAAGGCAGCUCACUAGACUGUCACUGACACUGAUGCUCGGAAGUGUGGGUAUCAAACAGGAUUAGAUACCCUGGUAGUCCACACAGUAAACGAUGAAUACUCGCUGUUUGCGAUAUACAGUAAGCGGCCAAGCGAAAGCAUUAAGUAUUCCACCUGGGGAGUACGCCGGCAACGGUGCAACUCAAAGGAAUUGACGG
rnacentral:rRNA from 1 species